UCUCUCUAAGUGUUUGUAAGGUUGUUUUGAAUUGGACUCUUGGUAAGAGGUAACUUGUGCAGAUGUGAUAGCACAAAGGGUAAAGCAAAAUAGAAUUGAUUAAUUCAAUGAUAGCAAAGUUGCAUUGUUACAAGCCUAUGUGAGGCGAAUGUAAAUAAAUACCGCUAAACAAAUAAAUUGACUUGAUAAA